rnacentral:rRNA from 1 species
AAUUCCAAACGAACUUGGAGAUAGCUGGUUCUCUCCGAAAUAGCUUUAGGGCUAGCCUCGCAAAGAGGAUGCUGGAGGUAGAGCUCUGUUUGGACUAGGGGCCCGUCAAGGGUUACUGAAUUCAGAUAAACUGCGAAUUCCAGACAUUUAUGUGCGGGAGUCAGACUGCGAGUGAUAAGAUCCGUAGUCGAAAGGGAAACAGCCCAGAUCACCAGUUAAGGUCCCAAAAUUCAUGCUAAGUGGAAAAGGAUGUGGAGUUGCGCAGACAACUAGGACGUUGGCUCAGAAGCAGCCAUCAUUCAAAGAGUGCGUAAUAGCUCACUAGUCGAGUGACGCCGCGCCGAAAAUUUACCGGGGCUAAGCAUGAUACCGAAACUGUGGAUGUGCGUUUAUGCACGUGGUAGGAGAGCGUUCUAGCGGCGGUGAAGCAUGACCGAGAGGACAUGUGGAGCUUCUAGAAGUGAGAAUGCCGGUAUGAGUAACGAAAGACAGGUGAGAAUCCUGUCCGCCGCAAGACUAAGGUUUCCUGGGGCAGGCUCGUCCGCCCAGGGUAAGUCGGGACCUAAGGCGAGGCCGAGAGGCGUAGUCGAUGGACAACAGGUUGAAAUUCCUGUACUGCACCGAAUCGUUAUGAGCGAUGGAGGGACGCAGGAGG